ACAUGGCAAGCAGGGGCCAGAUUAUAUACACUGCCUUAAAGAUUAUGGUCUUUAUCCUCAGUGCAACAAAAUAAAGUCAUUGAAGAGUUUUAAGUAGAGGACUGACAUGAUGACAUGUUAGGUUCAGCCUUCUGAAGAAUUUGAGAAUCCAUCAUUGCACUGGAAAAUGGAACAAAAAGUCGACUUCAAAGGACCUUGCCCACAAAAGACACCAGAAUGGCAUGAAAAUGCACCUCACAGACAGAGCACCCAGCUGCUGUGCUUUGAAGUCAGCCACACCUCCCAUUCAUUGCUGUUACCAAUGGACUGACUGAAUGCUGUGGCGAUACUGAGGCCGUCUUAGUCCCGGAAGACAGACUGUAAAAAGAAGAUGUUUAC
rnacentral:lncRNA from 1 species